rnacentral:rRNA from 1 species
CACGUAGGGGGCGAGCGUUGUCCGGAUUUAUUGGGCGUAAAGAGCUCGUAGGCGGCUCAGUAAGUCAGGUGUGAAAACUCCAGGCUCAACCUGGAGACGCCACUUGAUACUGCUGUGGCUAGAGUCCGGUAGGGGAGCAUGGAAUUCCUGGUGUAGCGGUGAAAUGCGCAGAUAUCAGGAGGAACACCAGUGGCGAAGGCGGUGCUCUGGGCUGGAACUGACGCUGAGGAGCGAAAGCGUGGGGAGCAAACAGG